rnacentral:rRNA from 1 species
ACAGAGGGCGCAAGCGUUGUUCGGAAUCAUUGGGCGUAAAGCGGGUGUAGGCGGCUUGGCAAGUCGGGUGUGAAAUCCCUGGGCUCAACCCAGGAACUGCACUCGAAACUGCCUCGCUAGAGUCCCGGAGAGGGUGGCGGAAUUCCCGGUGUAGAGGUGAAAUUCGUAGAUAUCGGGAGGAACACCAGUGGCGAAGGCGGCCACCUGGACGGUGACUGACGCUCAGACCCGAAAGCGUGGGUAGCAAACAGG